rnacentral:rRNA from 1 species
AUAAACGCUGGCGGCGUGCUUCACACAUGCCAGUCGAACGAAGUUUUUCUUUCGGGAGGAACUUAGUGGCGGACGGGUGAGUAACGCGUGGGUAACCUGCCCUGUACAGGGGGACAACAGCUGGAAACGGCUGCUAAUACCGCAUAAGCCCUUAGCACUGCAUGGUGCAUAGGGAAAAGGAGCAAUCCGGUACAGGAUGGACCCGCGUCUGAUUAGCCAGUUGGCAGGGUAACGGCCUACCAAAGCGACGAUCAGUAGCCGAUCUGAGAGGAUGUACGGCCACAUUGGGACUGAGACACGGCCCAGACUCCUACGGGAGGCAGCAGUGGGGAAUAUUGCACAAUGGAGGAAACUCUGAUGCAGCGACGCCGCGUGAGUGAAGAAGUAUUUCGGUAUGUAAAGCUCUAUCAGCAGGAAAGAAAAUGACGGUACCUGACUAAGAAGCACCGGCUAAAUACGUG